rnacentral:rRNA from 1 species
UUACUACCAUUCAGUUGAGGACUCUAAUGAGACUGCCAACGAUAAGUUGGAGGGAAGGUGGGGAUGACGUCAAAUCAUCAUGCCCUUUAUGACCUGGGCUACAAACGUACUACAAUGGCCGGUACAAAGAGAUGCGAAGUGGCGACAUGGAGCGAACCUCAGAAAGCCGGUCUCAGUUCAGAUUGAAGUCUGCAACUCGACUUCAUGAAGGCGGAAUCGCUAGUAAUCGCGGAUCAGCACGCCGCGGUGAAUACGUUCCCGGGCCUU